AUUGAACGCUGGCGGAAUGCUUUACACAUGCAAGUCGAACGGCAGCACAGACUUCGGUAUGGUGGCGAGUGGCGAACGGGUGAGUAAUGUAUCGGAACGUGCCCAGUCGUGGGGGAUAACGUAGUGAAAAUUACGCUAAUACCGCAUACGAUCUAUGGAUGAAAGCGGGUGAUCGCAAGACCUCGCGCGAUUGGAUCGGCCGAUAUCAGAUUAGGUAGUUGGUGGGGUAAAGGCCCACCAAGCCAACGAUCUGUAGCUGGUCUGAGAGGACGACCAGCCACACUGGAACUGAGACACGGUCCAGACUCCUACGGGAGGCAGCAGUGGGGAAUUUUGGACAAUGGGCGAAAGCCUGAUCCAGCCAUUCCGCGUGCAGGAUGAAGGCCCUCGGGUUGUAAACUGCUUUUAUACAGAACGAAAAGGUUUCUACUAAUACUAGGAGCUCAUGACGGUACUGUAAGAAUAAGCACCGGCUAACUACGUGCCAGCAGCCGCAGUAA
rnacentral:rRNA from 1 species